UAAAAUAGUAUUUUGCAAGCAGGA
rnacentral:piRNA from 1 species